UCGGGUCCACUGGUGGUGGGCUGCUGGUGGCCUACCAAAAAAAUGGGCUGCUGUUUUUAUAUUUUUUUCUUUAUUUUAUCUUUUUCUCUCUUUUUCCUUUCAUCUUUCUGUUUCUUCUCUUCUUUUUUCUUUUCAGUUACCUAUUUUACUUCUUUUGCUUGCUGUUUUUUCUGUCUUUGUCUGCUUAUUUGUGGAGGUGCGACGGUGGUGGGAAUGUAAGGGCGGGCCGGCGAGCACGGUGGCGGGGAAGGAGCGGCGAAUUUUUUGAAGUUAUUCUUUUGUUUUUUUUUUUUGCUACUCUUUUGUUUGCUUUGCUUUUCUAUUUGGUUGCUUGCGACUUUUCAGGUGGUGGGGGCAAGGGGACGACAACGGUGGCAGUGGUUAAACGACGGUGGUGAGGGCUUUUGCUUGCUGCUGCUUGAUUUUUUUCUCUCCUUUUUUUUUUUGCUUUUUGGUUGCCGAAAAUGAAAACCCCCCCAUUUCUCUUCAAUCCUUUCCUUUUAAAAGCUCCAAAUUUUGUCAUCUUUCUCAUUGUUUGCAGGUGGCAGAUGAGCCAUGAUGGCCUAGGGGGGGCUGCUGGAGUAGCUCGGCUGGGAGGGG
rnacentral:lncRNA from 1 species